rnacentral:lncRNA from 1 species
UUAAGCGUGUUAAGUUUGUUUGCCUCCGACGUAGAAAAAAAGAAAAAAAAGUUGUGAAGCGAAAAAAGGUGAAUCAAUUUGUGUUGAAUGUUGUAUUUUUCAAAAAGAAGUGUUCCAAUGAGGUUUCUACUACUUUUCGGGAACGAAAACCUCUGCGCCUUGUGUAAAAUUGAAACCUCCGGAUGUGAAGCCUGCAUCAAAACCAAUUCAAACACAACAUCCCGCUCGGACCGAUAUAUCCCCGUAGGGUUCGUCAUCGCUCGGUCCCCAGCAAUCAACAAGCGGAUUAUCUACAACAAGCAUUCGACGGAUAACACUUUCGGCGAACCUAAAUCAUUGCAAACCCGGGACAAAUUCAGCACAUUUUAUAAAUGUGAUCGCGAAGUACAUAGUUGGGAUCUAUUUCCCUUCGGCAAAAGGAAAUGACAGCGGCCGAAAUUCAGCAGCUUUUACCAAUCAGAAGAGCUCGGCAAAAGUGAUUUUUGUGUGACUUCGCAAAUCUAGGAAAUCCGGAAAAUGAUUUCAUUUUUAUAAGUGAAAAUAUAUUAUAAGCAUUUCAA